rnacentral:rRNA from 1 species
CCUACGGGUGGCAGCAGUAAGGGAUAUUGGUCAAUGGUGGAAACCCUGAACCAGCAACGCCGCGUGAGGGAAGACGGUUUUCGGAUUGUAAACCUCUGUCCUCUGUGAAGAUGAUGACGGUAGCAGAGGAGGAAGCUCCGGCUAACUACGUGCCAGCAGCCGCGGUAAUACGUAGGAUGCGAGCGUUAUCCGGAUUUAUUGGGUUUAAAGGGUGCGCAGGCGGUCUGUUAAGUCAGCGGUCAAAGCCCGGGGCUCAACCCCGGCCCGCCGUUGAAACUGGCAGUCUCGAGUUGGAGAGAAGUAUGCGGAAUGCGCGGUGUAGCGGUGAAAUGCAUAGAUAUCGCGCAGAACUCCGAUUGCGAAGGCAGCAUGCCGGCUCCACACUGACGCUGAGGCACGAAAGCGUGGGUAUCGAACAGGAUUAGAUACCCGAGUAGUC